AAGUCAUAACAAGGUAACCGUAGGUGAACCUGCGGUUGGAUCAUUAAUGGAUGGUAAGUUUACCGGACGCGCAAGCAAAUGUUGUUUGAUAGACGAUUGGAGUAGUGGAUUGGAUUAAAAGACAACUUUUGACAAUGGAUCUCUUGGUUCUC
rnacentral:misc_RNA from 1 species